rnacentral:rRNA from 1 species
UACGUAGGGGCCGAGCGUUGUCCGGAGUUACUGGGCGUAAAGCGCGCGCAGGCGGCUCGUCAAGCCUGACGUGAAAGCCCCCGGCUCAACCGGGGAGGGUCGUCGGGGACUGGCGGGCUUGAGGUCGGCAGGGGUUGGUGGAAUUCCCGGUGUAGUGGUGAAAUGCGCAGAUAUCAGGAAGAACACCAAUGGCGAAGGCAGCUCUCUGGGACGGUACUGACGCUGAGACGCGAAAGCGUGGGGAGCAAACAGG